rnacentral:rRNA from 1 species
GAUCAUGGCUCAGGAUAAACGCUGGCGGCGCAUAUAAGACAUGCAAGUUGAACGGACUUAAUCGAAAUAUUUAUAUUUUGAAGCGGUUAGUGGCGGACUGGUGAGUAACGCGUAAGGAACCUGCCUAUUAGAGGGGAAUAACAGUGAGAAAUCAUUGCUAAUACCGCAUAUGCCAUAGAUAUCACAUGAUAACAGUGGGAAAGGAGCAAUCCGCUAAUAGAUGGCCUUGCG